UUGCUGUUGUUACAAGGUCCCUCAAUUAAACAUAUAAAGCAGCAACUUAAGAACAGAUAGAGAGCUGGUAACAAAACCCGUGUUUCAAGUGUGAGUUUUUACCAGUUGCAAAUGAAACAAUUGAGAAUUUUUAACAAUUGAUCAAUCAAUCUUGAUUCACAGAGGGAAAGCACAUCAUGAAGAACCUGGUGACACAGAAGAGGAUCAUCCUACACACAAAGUUUUCAAAGAAAGAAGACCCAGAAUAGGUCUAGCACUGGACAUUCCCUUAGCAUCCAAUUUCUUAGUUGCCAUUUAAUAGUAAAACAAUACAGGGAGUGAGUCAUAGUGGAGUUCUUCAUACAUUUAUGCUCAUAAGUGGACAUUCAUACCUUGUGAUCCAAGUGUCUGGAGUGAUGAUGCUGCUGAACCCAGGAUGGACAGCCAGGAUCCUGAGUCUAUCCUCACCAUACCUCAUUCCUCCAACUUACUUAGGAAAGUACAGUGGUGAUAUAACUUGCCAACAAUAUUUGGCUAUUGGAAAUUUGGAAACAUGA
rnacentral:lncRNA from 12 species